UAACGCGAAGAACCUUACCAAGGCCUGACAUAUACCGGAAAGCAUCAGAGAUGGUGCCCCCCCUGUGGUCGGUAUACAGGUGGUGCAUGGCUGUCGUCAGCUCGUGUCGUGAGAUGUUGGGUUAAGUCCCGCAACGAGCGCAACCCUUGUUCUGUGUUGCCAGCAUGCCCUUCGGGGUGAUGGGGACUCACAGGAGACUGCCGGGGUCAACUCGGAGGAAGGUGGGGACGACGUCAAGUCAUCAUGCCCCUUAUGCCUUGGGCUGCACACGUGCUACAAUGGCAGGUACAAUGAGCUGCGAUGCCGCGAGGCGGAGCGAAUCUCAAAAAGCCUGUCUCAGUUCGGAUUGGGGUCUGCAACUCGACCUCAUGAAGUUGGAUUCGCUAGUAAUCGCAUAUCAGCAAUGAUGCGGUGAAUACGUUCCCGGGUCUUGUACACACCGA
rnacentral:rRNA from 1 species